rnacentral:rRNA from 1 species
AUUGAACGCUGGCGGCAUGCCUUACACAUGCAAGUCGAACGGUAACGGGCCUUCGGGUGCCGACGAGUGGCGAACGGGUGAGUAAUACAUCGGAACGUGCCCGAUCGUGGGGGAUAACGAGGCGAAAGCUUUGCUAAUACCGCAUACGAUCUACGGAUGAAAGCAGGGGACCGCAAGGCCUUGCGCGGACGGAGCGGCCGAUGGCAGAUGAGGUAGUUGGUGGGAUAACAGCUUACCAAGCCGACGAUCUGUAGCUGGUCUGAGAGGAUGAUCAGCCACACUGGGACUGAGACACGGCCCAGACUCCUACGGGAGGCAGCAGUGGGGAAUUUUGGACAAUGGGCGCAAGCCUGAUCCAGCCAUGCCGCGUGCAGGAUGAAGGCCUUCGGGUUGUAAACUGCUUUUGUACGGAACGAAAAGCCUUCUUUUAAUACAGGAGGGUCAUGACGGUACCGUAAGAAUAAGCACCGGCUAACUACGUG